ACCAGAUUCGUCGUGGUGCGGUGCAGAAAAUCCUGGCGGGCGUGGCGGACCUUGCGGUGCGCGCGAGCGACCUUGCGCUUGGCUUUGCGGCGGUUGUUCGAGCCGCGCUGCUUGCGGGCCAUCCGUCGCUGAUACCGCGCCAAGUUCCGCGCCUUACGAUCUAGGUGCUUCGGAUUGGCGAUGGUCUCACCGGUCGACAGCACCGCGAAGUCCUUGACUCCGAGAUCCACGCCGAUCGCUUCACCCGUCGGCGGCUGCGGUUCGGGCUCGUCGGUGUCCACGGCGAACGUCACGUACCAGCGCCCGUCCGGCUCACGGGAGACCACCACCAUCGUCGGGUUGAUCGUGGUCGGGUCGACCUCGGGCCACGACCACACGAAACGCAACGGCGUGGUCUGCUUCGCCAGGAACAGCUGGGCGUCGCGGAUGCGGAACGCGCUGCGGGUGUAGUGCGCGGACUGCUUGCCGGUGCGGGACUUGAACCGCGGGUACUUCGCCCGUCCGGCGAAGAAAUUGGAGAACGCGGUGUGCUGGUGCCGCAGCGUUUGCUGCAGCGGCACCGACGACACCUCGGACAGAAACCCCAGGUCCUCGG
rnacentral:antisense_RNA from 1 species